rnacentral:lncRNA from 1 species
GUUAAAAUGAUGUCAAAUCACUGUUGAAAAAUGUAUUUUGGUGGAAAAAUGGGGCUCAAACAAGGGCUAAUUCUGUAUGUGCAGAUCUCAACUAGAAAGCUUUGCAUCUUUAUGUUACAAUUUUGUUUUUAUUAGGUGAAAAUUUGAUCUUUCCUCCAUGUUAAUUUAGAAAUGUUCAUGCAUUGAAGGUUGUAGGAUACUUUCUGGAUGCAAAAACAUUCCAGUUGAAAUUUGUUUGCCCAAAGAACAAAAAUAGUGUAGAAUUCAUGAGAUCCUAAUUGAUGCAGAUAAUCUCCCAGUUAAGUUUGGAAGUAAAGCCAUACUGCAGUACAACCAUCAGGACAUAGCUUGAGAACAAUUUAAAACCAACAGGUACUCUAUUACUGGGUAUAAAAUGAUUUCUUACAAUAACUAGCAAAUGGGAGUAUCUCUAAUUUUUCUUUUAAUAAAUCAUUUUAUCCUCUUUUGAGUUAUUUUCAUUUCAAUACUGAUUAAAAUGUUUCUAAUAUUUGCUCACCUUGAUUUUGUUGGACAAUUCAUACUUAAUUUGAUAGAUCAAAUAACUUACUAUAAUUAUUAUGAUGUAAGUUCUGCAAUAAAAAUAAGAAAGUUGGAAAGUUGAUGAGUAAGACUCAUAUUUCGGAAAGUUUAUGUUAAAUCGGAAGCUGAAAGAGUGAAAGCGUUCCUUUUUUAUUGAGUGAGGGAUCAAUAGGGUUUGAAAUACCACCCCAAUCUUGGGGAAAUGACAUCUCUUUUUCCUAGUCUUAUAUAACUUUCUAAUAAUCUUUUACCGAGUCUCAGAUUAUGGUGUAGCUGUUCUUUUUAUGGAGGUUGACAUCGACUUCAAUAAAGAGCCUAUUGGUGCAGACAAAGAUAGUAAAGAUGUCAAUUUCAAGGGUAUACGGCCAUCAACUGAAAAAAUUGCAUAGGUAUACAUGUAUAUUGCACUAAAUGCCCAUUUGCAAAAAGGGAAUAUCAAAUUGUGAAGUAACAUGAAAAUUAUAUGUUUGAAGUGGUUCAAUCCAGUGUAUUGCCUAUAUGUUCAAAAGUAUAUAUGAAUCUAUCACAAAGGGUAAUGCCAUGUGGAAUCAGUUAUCAGUACUAAUUGCCAAGCACUGUUACUUGUUACCCAGUUGUGUAUUCACCUUUGUUUUACUCUUCGUUAUGUUUUGUUUUGUCAUCUUUGGUCUUUGUAUUCAUUUGCUUAUGUCAAUUUAUCUUUUAGAUAUUUGGCUGUUUUUUUCCAAUGAUUUUAUUUUAAUUCUUUAAGCAAUUUGACUAACGAAUGUACAACAAACUUCAUGAUGCUUUUAACUUGUAACAUUGUUUUUAUAUUGUAGCACUACUUUUGCAUAAAACCUCCUCCAUGAAGUUUGAACUUAGCAGGAAUGUAUUGUUGCCUUUAUGAUGCUUUUCUAGCUUGUAACUUUACUCUGAUGCUGUAUCAAAUUCAGCUUUUGAAAUGUAUAAAUCAUCCUUUGUUCACUGAUUAGAAUAUUAUUUUGUAAUUUCUCUUAGUUUAUAAAUUAAAAGACUUUUGAUUUUACGUAUAUGAGAUGUCUUUCAAUACUAACACAAUAUAUAUAUAUACACACACACACACGCACGAUAUUACAUAGUUAAUUAUGCCCUGGCACGUGCG